rnacentral:rRNA from 1 species
AGGAUGAACGCUAGCGGCAGGCUUAAUACAUGCAAGUCGAGGGGCAGCAUGACUGUAGCAAUACAGUUGAUGGCGACCGGCAAACGGGUGCGGAACACGUACAGAACCUUCCUUCGAGCGGGGAAUAGCCCAGAGAAAUUUGGAUUAAUACCCCAUAGUAUAUUAGAGUGGCAUCACUUUGAUAUUAAAGAUUUAUCACUUGAAGAUGGCUGUGCGGCUGAUUAGGUAGUUGGCGGGGUAACGGCCCACCAAGCCUUCGAUCAGUAACUGGUGUGAGAGCACGACCAGUCACACGGGCACUGAGACACGGGCCCGACUCCUACGGGAGGCAGCAGUAAGGAAUAUUGGUCAAUGGACGAAAGUCUGAACCAGCCAUGCCGCGUGGAGGAUGAAGGUCCUCUGGAUUGUAAACUUCUUUUAUAUGGGACGAAAAAAGGGUUUUCUAACUCGUCUGACGGUACCAUAUGAAUAAGCACCGGCUAACUCCGUG